GCUGUUCCCAGAGAAGAAUGUGCCCAAAACAGAAGUGCUGGUCACUUGGGAAGAACUGCCUUUUGUAGUAGCUGACAGGUCUGUAUCGCAGCCAUUUAGCCUGUCCCAGCUGAAAAAUGAGCAAAGAGCUCCAGAUGGCAGAAAAGAGGUCUGAAUUACGAGUAUACUACAAUCUCACAUUUUGGCAAAGAGGUUUGGAAACCUUUGCUGAUGCAACAAGCAGGGGACUCACCCUCUUCAAAGUAAGGACCCAAAAAGGAGCAGAUUUCAGCAGCUGACGGCCUGGUGUGACCCAAGUGAAACCAGCCCACCCUGCCGGCAUGUCCUCCCUGCUGUGCUUGUUCCCUUUGCCCUUGGAAUGCUAUCACUUGUUAUCACGCUGACUUCUCCAGAUGGGGCAUUUUGGCUAUUGAUCUGAUAAAU